AGUGAACGCUGGCGGUAGGCCUAACACAUGCAAGUCGAACGGCAGCACAGUAAGAGCUUGCUCUUACGGGUGGCGAGUGGCGGACGGGUGAGGAAUACAUCGGAAUCUACUUUUUCGUGGGGGAUAACGUAGGGAAACUUACGCUAAUACCGCAUACGACCUACGGGUGAAAGCAGGGGAUCUUUGGACCUUGCGCGAUUGAAUGAGCCGAUGUCGGAUUAGCUAGUUGGCGGGGUAAAGGCCCACCAAGGCGACGAUCCGUAGCUGGUCUGAGAGGAUGGUCAGCCACACUGGAACUGAGACACGGUCCAGACUCCUACGGGAGGCAGCAGUGGGGAAUAUUGGACAAUGGGCGCAAGCCUGAUCCAGCCAUACCGCGUGGGUGAAGAAGGCCUUCGGGUUGUAAAGCCCUUUUGUUGGGAAAGAAAAGCAGCAGGUUAAUACCCCGCUGUUCUGACGGUACCCAAAGAAUAAGCACCGGCUAACUUCGUG
rnacentral:rRNA from 1 species